UACGAAGGGGGCAAGCGUUGUUCGGAAUGACUGGGCGUAAAGGGCGCGUAGGCGGUUCGUUGCGUCAGAUGUGAAAGCCCCGGGCUCAACCUGGGAACUGCAUUUGAUACGGGCGGGCUUGAAUCCAAGAGAGGGUGGUGGAAUUCCCAGUGUAGAGGUGAAAUUCGUAGAUAUUGGGAAGAACACCAGUGGCGAAGGCGGCCACCUGGCUUGGUAUUGACGCUGAGGCGCGAAAGCGUGGGGAGCAAACAGGAUUAGAUACCCUGGUAGUCCACGCCGUAAACGAUGUGUGCUAGCCGUCGGGCAGCUUGCUGUUCGGUGGCGCAGCUAACGCGAUAAGCACACCGCCUGGGGAGUACGGUCGCAAGAUUAAA
rnacentral:rRNA from 1 species